GUUAGUCACUCAUGUGAGAAGUUUGCAGUAAACACUUUAUUUCACAAUCUCCAUUCCUUUCAGCACAGCUAUUCCUAACUGGAAAUGAUUCACCCACCAAGAAUCAGAGUCCAUGCUUUUAUAUAAAAGACAUGUCUUUUAGAAUAGUGAUCUGGUUUAUGCAGAGGGCACGCGUCUUUGUGACCACCAACAAAUGGUGACUGAGUCACUCCUUUCAUAAUAUGAGUCGCCCUGAC